UGGGGAAUUUUGGACAAUGGGGGCAACCCUGAUCCAGCAAUGCCGCGUGUGUGAAGAAGGCCUUCGGGUUGUAAAGCACUUUUGUCCGGAAAGAAAACGCCGUGGUUAAUACCCGUGGCGGAUGACGGUACCGGAAGAAUAAGCACCGGCUAACUACGUGCCAGCAGCCGCGGUAAUACGUAGGGUGCAAGCGUUAAUCGGAAUUACUGGGCGUAAAGCGUGCGCAGGCGGUCCGCUAAGACAGAUGUGAAAUCCCCGGGCUUAACCUGGGAACUGCAUUUGUGACUGGCGGGCUAGAGUAUGGCAGAGGGGGGUAGAAUUCCACGUGUAGCAGUGAAAUGCGUAGAGAUGUGGAGGAAUACCGAUGGCGAAGGCAGCCCCCUGGGCCAAUACUGACGCUCAUGCACGAAAGCGUGGGGAGCAAACAGGAUUAGAUACCCUGGUAGUCCACGCCCUAAACGAUGUCAACUAGUUGUUGGGGAUUCAUUUCCUUAGUAACGUAGCUAACGCGUGAAGUUGACCGCCUGGGGA
rnacentral:rRNA from 1 species